rnacentral:rRNA from 1 species
UACGGAGGGUGCGAGCGUUGUCCGGAAUCACUGGGCGUAAAGGGCGCGUAGGCGGCCUGAUAAGUAGGGGGUGAAAUCCUGCGGCUUAACCGCAGGGCUGCCUUCUAAACUGUCAGGCUAGAGCACGGUAGAGGCAGAUGGAAUUCCCGGUGUAGCGGUGAAAUGCGCAGAUAUCUGGAGGAACACCGGUGGCGAAGGCGGCAUCCUGGACCAACACUGACGCUGAGGAGCGAAAGCCAGGGGAGCAAACGGG